rnacentral:rRNA from 1 species
CUGGAGCUUGCUCCAGCAGGUUAGCGGCGGACGGGUGAGUAACACGUGGGCAACCUGCCUGUAAGACUGGGAUAACUCCGGGAAACCGGAGCUAAUACCGGAUAGUAUCUUGAACCGCAUGGUUCAAGUUGGAAAGACGGUUUCGGCUGUCACUUACAGAUGGGCCCGCGGCGCAUUAGCUAGUUGGUGAGGUAAUGGCUCACCAAGGCAACGAUGCGUAGCCGACCUGAGAGGGUGAUCGGCCACACUGGGACUGAGACACGGCCCAGACUCCUACGGGAGGCAGCAGUAGGGAAUCUUCCGCAAUGGACGAAAGUCUGACGGAGCAACGCCGCGUGAGUGAUGAAGGUUUUCGGAUCGUAAAACUCUGUUGUUAGGGAAGAACAAGUGCGAGAGUAACUGCUCGCACCUUGACGGUACCUAACCAGAAAGCCACGGCUAACUACGUGCCAGCAGCCGCGGUAAUACGUAGGUGGCAAGCGUUGUCCGGAAUUAUUGGGCGUAAAGCGCGCGCAGGCGGUUUCUUAAGUCUGAUGUGAAAGCCCCCGGCUCAACCGGGGAGGGUCAUUGGAAACUGGGAAACUUGAGUGCAGAAGAGGAGAGUGGAAUUCCACGUGUAGCGGUGAAAUGCGUAGAGAUGUGGAGGAACACCAGUGGCGAAGGCGACUCUCUGGUCUGUAACUGACGCUGAGGCGCGAAAGCGUGGGGAGCGAACAGGAUUAGAUACCCUGGUAGUCCACGCCGUAAACGAUGAGUGCU